AGUGAACGCUGGCGGUAGGCCUAACACAUGCAAGUCGAACGGCAGCACAGGAGAGCUUGCUCUCUGGGUGGCGAGUGGCGGACGGGUGAGGAAUACAUCGGAAUCUGCUCUGUCGUGGGGGAUAACGUAGGGAAACUUACGCUAAUACCGCAUACGACCUACGGGUGAAAGCAGGGGACCUUCGGGCCUUGCGCGAUUGAAUGAGCCGAUGUCGGAUUAGCUAGUUGGCGGGGUAAAGGCCCACCAAGGCGACGAUCCGUAGCUGGUCUGAGAGGAUGAUCAGCCACACUGGAACUGAGACACGGUCCAGACUGCUACGGGAGGCAGCAGUGGGGAAUAUUGGACAAUGGGCGCAAGCCUGAUCCAGCCAUACCGCGUGGGUGAAGAAGGCCUUCGGGUUGUAAAGCCCUUUUGUUGGGAAAGAAAUCCAGCUGGCUAAUACCCGGUUGGGAUGACGGUACCCAAAGAAUAAGCACCGGCUAACUUCGUGCCAGCAGCCGCGGUAA
rnacentral:rRNA from 1 species